rnacentral:rRNA from 14 species
AAAACAUUUAGAGAAUGCCUAUAUAUUAAAACUUAAAAACGGACGUUUUAUUAACGAAAUUUUGUGACGAGUACGAUAAUGUGCUGAGAGUUACAAUUAUCCGAAUAGGAAACUAUAUAAUUAUUUUAAAGUUUUAGAAUUUAUGUAUCUAAAACUAAACUUUAGUGAAUUGAAUCAUCUAAGUAACUAAAUUAAAAAAUCAACCGAGAAAUUGUGAGUAGUGGCGAACGAAAACAGUAAAGACUAAAUUAAAAAUUUAUUAUUUAAUAAUAAUUAAAGCCAUAGAAGGAAAAUUUUAAAAAAUAGCCCUGUAUAGUAGUAAAUUUAAAAUUUAUAAACGAGUAAAAUGAAACAAGUCGUGUUUUGUUUGAAUAUCGGGGGACCACCCUCGAAGUCUUAAAAUGUUUUAAUAUUUGAUAGCGUAAUAAAAAGUACCGUGAGGGAAAGGUGAAAAGAACUUGAGAGUUUGAAAAGAAUCUAAAACUAAAUGUUGACAAUCUGUUGAAGCUUACAAAAAGUAACAACGUACCUUUUGCAUAAUGGAUCAACGAGUUUAUUUUAGUGGCGAGCUUAAGCUAAAUAAGUGUAGGCUAAAAGAUAUUAAGUUUUAAAAUGCUGUUUAGUCUCUAGAAUAAGACCCGAAACUAAGUGAUCUAACCAUGAACAGGUUGAAUUUAUAGCGGUAACGCUUUUUGGAGGACCGAACUCGUGUAUGUGGAAAAAUACUGAGAUGAUUUGUGGUUAGGGGUGAAAGGCCAAUCAAACUUAGAGAUAGCUGGUUUUCUGCGAAAUCUAUUUAAGUAGAGCGUUUAAAUACUUCAAAUUUAGGUAGAGCACUCAUUAAAUGAUGGGGACGUAAAGUUUUACUGAAUUUAGUGAAACUCCGAAUAAGAUUUGAAAGAAUUUAAGCAGACAGACUUAAGAUGCUAAGAUCUUUAGUCAAAAGGGAAACAGCCCAGAUUAUUAGUUAAGGUCCUUAAGAAUAGUUAAGUGAAAAAAAAAUAAAAACAUUACAACAACCGACAGGUAGGCUUGGAAGCAGCCAUCCUUUAAAGAAAGCGUAACAGCUCACUGAUCAAGCGCCUCUGCGCGGAAAAUGUAUCGGGACUAAAGUUAUUCGCCGAAAUUGCGGACUCGAAAGAGUGGUAGCGGAGCGUUCCGUAAGCCUGUGAAGGUGAACCGUGAGGUUUGCUGGAGGUAUCGGAAGUGAGAAUGCUGACAUGAGUAGCGACAAACAGGGUGAGAGACCCUGUCGCCGAAAGACCAAGGGUUCCUGCGUAAAGCUAAUCUGCGCAGGGUUAGCCGGCCCCUAAGGCAAGGCCGAAAGGCGUAGUCGAUGGGAACCACGUUAAUAUUCGUGGGCCAAGGGAUGAGUGACGGAUUUCGAAAGUUGUAUUCCCUUAUUGGAUUGGGAAUGCAGCCUGGAAGUUCCUGGAAAUAGCCUCCCUAUUAGACCGUACCCGAAACCGACACAGGUGGUCAGGUAGAGCAUACCAAGGCGCUUGAGAGAACUAUGUUGAAGGAACUCGGCAAUUUACCUCCGUAACUUCGGGAUAAGGAGGCCAUCCGCUUGGGCAACCAGGUGGGUGGGGCACAGACCAGGGGGUGGCGACUGUUUAGCAAAAACACAGGGCUCUGCUAAGUCGGCUUCAAGACGACGUAUAGGGUCUGACGCCUGCCCGGUGCCGGAAGGUUAAAAGGAGGGGUGCAAGCUCCGAAUUGAAGCCCCGGUAAACGGCGGCCGUAACUAUGACGGUCCUAAGGUAGCGAAGUUCCUUGUCGGGUAAGUUCCGACCCGCACGAAAGGCGUAAUGAUUUGGAUACUGUCUCGGAGAGGGACUCGGUGAAAUAGACUUGUCUGUGAAGAUGCGGACUACCUGCACCAGGACAGAAAGACCCUAUGAAGCUUUACUGUAUCUUGGAAUUGGGUUUGGGCCUUGCUUGCGCAGGAUAGGUGGGAGGCUUUGAAGAUAUUCUUGCGGGAAUAUUGGAGCCAAUGGUGAGAUACCACUCUAGCAUGGCUAAAAUUCUAACUUUGAACCGUUAUCCGGUCGAAGAACAGUUUCAGGUGGGCAGUUUGACUGGGGCGGUCGCCUCCUAAAAGGUAACGGAGGCGUGCAAAGGUUCCCUCAGGCUGGUCGGACAUCAGUCGUAGAGUGUAAAGGCAUAAGGGAGCUUGACUGCGAGACCUACAAGUC